rnacentral:rRNA from 1 species
GACGAACGCUGGCGGCGGGCUUAACACAUGCAAGUCGAACGGAAAGGCCCUGCUUUUGUGGGGUGCUCGAGUGGCGAACGGGUGAGUAACACGUGAGUAACCUGCCCUUGACUUUGGGAUAACUUCAGGAAACUGGGGCUAAUACCGGAUAGGAGCUCCUGCUGCAUGGUGGGGGUUGGAAAGUUUCGGCGGUUGGGGAUGGACUCGCGGCUUAUCAGCUUGUUGGUGGGGUAGUGGCUUACCAAGGCUUUGACGGGUAGCCGGCCUGAGAGGGUGACCGGCCACAUUGGGACUGCGAUACGGCCCAGACUCCUACGGGAGGCAGCAGUGGGGAAUAUUGCACAAUGGGCGGAAGCCUGAUGCAGCAACGCCGCGUGCGGGAUGACGGCCUUCGGGUUGUGAACCGCUUUCGCCUGUGACGAAGCGUGAGUGACGGUAAUGGGUAAAGAAGCACCGGCUAACUACGUG